UCACUGUGCAAAAUAGAUCCGUCUAUUUUCUCUCUUACACAUUCUCAUUUCUUUCCCUCACCACUCAGCAGUCAACGCCUCUCUCUCGCUGGGCUGGAUCGGACCAAGGCGCCACCGCUCCCCAGCAGCGCAGGUGCUGAUGCCCUUCCUCUCGGGAGAAGGGGGCAGGCCAAGGCGUCGACGGGAGGCGACCCUACCUGUGAGCAGCGAGAUGCGAAGCCAAAGAGUUGAAUAACCAAGGGUGUGGCUAAUCAGGUGUGUGUUAUAUUUUCCUUUUUUUCUGUUUGUGUUCUACUGGAUGCUAUUUGUAGACUGUUAGCUUAGGAUUUUGUAAAAAAAAAUUCUGUAGGGAGGGAGGGGCCAGCAUUCUUUUGAAUUGGCUUGUGCAUCACUAGGACAGCAACUCAAAGUUGCAGAAACUUUAUGUCUGGGUAUUUGAGAUUUCAAUUCCUCUUAUUUUACUUACCAACAAGAAAUUCAACAUCUUGAAAUUUUAGACAGUGAGAUAUUGUAGUUAGAACCUGGGCAUACAUGUGAGAUCAUGUGUGUUGAAUCCUAAAGCUACAUGUUGCAUUAUGUGUGAGGUCAUGUGAGUUAAAUCAGAAGGCCACAUCUUGUAAAAAAAAACCUGCACAUGUAGAGUACAUGGCACAAUAUUUGUUGUCAUCUCCGAAGGCUUUUUUGUUGACGUAUUUUUUGUCAUCUCUGAUGGAUUGUUAAUUAGAAUGGGCCGUCACUUUAGAUAGUUUAAGGCAAAAUCACUAAUGAUUUUUGCUAGAUUUACACCUUGAUCUCGAUAUGUAAUUUGUUAUUAUUUGGAUAUAAUUUACUGAAUAAGUCUGUUGGACGUAGAAUUCUUUGAUGCCAUUUUGUUGACAGUAGGCUGAAAUUUGCACUUCAUACUAUAUUCAGGCAGUACUAUGAAAGUACUCGAAUGUCAAUACAAGUAUGAUUUUUUGUCCUUUGUGAACGUCUAAUUUUACUAGCAUGGAUGCUAAUGUUAGCUUCUAAUUUCUGAUUUAUUUUGAAAGCAAUGCAUUAGUUCUGGUAUUGCCAAUUCUUGUAUAUAGUUUCACCAUUAUAAUUUUCCUGAGGACACUUUCUAGUUUUUAACUUAAUAUCCUCUCCAUUGGAGUGAACCUAUAUUUUUUAGGGAUGCAUGAAACAAGGAUAAGUUAGUGUAUGCAUCCUUUGUGCUUAUUAGUAUCUUCUGUACAGUUUUAGAUUGACAUUCUUUCCCAUAUUUUAUCUAGCUCAUAGAUGUCUUCUAACUAUUUGUUUUCCAUGAAUUGUUUUUGUUGAUCGCAAAACCAAUCUGUUCUUAUCUUUUAGAUCUUGAAGAUUCAUUCCUCAAUGCACCAGUAAAAAGAAGAUGGGCAAGUAGAUAUUAGUUAUGAUUAUUGAGUCCAUUUUUCUAUCUGUUAAUUCUAACACUAUUGUCAGUCACUGCAAGGUCGAGGUUCUUUUCUGCAUCAGUUAAUUAGUAGACCAUUCACAUGGAGGAUUGGUUGCUAAAGUUUCAAUUGUCCAAAUACCAUGCCUCAAUGUAGAUGAUAAUGCAUGUAUGUUCAUUACUCAAUUGCCAACACUUCCAUAGAUGGACUAGACAACUAUUGGAUACAAUGGUUCAGCUCUUUUUUU